rnacentral:misc_RNA from 1 species
UCCGUCAAUUCCUUUGAGUUUCAGCCUUGCGGCCGUACUCCCCAGGUGGAUCACUUAAUGCUUUUGCUUAGCCGCUAACUGUGUAUCGCUAACAGCGAGUGAUCAUCGUUUACGGCGUGGACUACCAGGGUAUCUAAUCCUGUUCGCUCCCCACGCUUUCGUGCAUCAGCGUCAGUAAUGGCCCAGUAAGCUGCCUUCGCAAUCGGUGUUCUGUGUAAUAUCUAAGCAUUUCACCGCUACAUUACACAUUCCGCCUACCUUGACCGUACUCAAGACUAACAGUAUCAAUGGCAAUUCUACAGUUAAGCUGCAGGUUUUCACCACUGACUUAUUAAUCCGCCUACGCACCCUUUAAACCCAAUAAAUCCGGAUAACGCUCGCAUCCUCCGUAUUACCGCGG